ensembl:snoRNA SNORD114-20 small nucleolar RNA, C/D box 114-20
UGGAUCGAUGAUGACUACUGGUGGCAUAUGAGUCAUCUACAGUGAAUACGUCUCUGGAACUCUGAGGUCUGU